rnacentral:rRNA from 1 species
GACGAACGCUGGCGGCGUGCUUAACACAUGCAAGUCGAACGGAAAGGCCCUGCUUUUGUGGGGUGCUCGAGUGGCGAAAGGGUGAGUAACACGUGAGUAACCUGCCCUUGACUUUGGGAUAACUUCAGGAAACUGGGGCUAAUAACGGAUAGGAGCUCCUGCUGCAUGGUGGGGGUUGGAAAGUUUCGGCGGUUGGGGAUGGACUCGCGGCUUAUCAGCUUGUUGGUGGGGUAGUGGCUUACCAAGGCUUUGACGGGUAGCCGGCCUGAGAGGGUGACCGGCCACAUUGGGACUGAGAUACGGCCCAGACUCCUACGGGAGGCAGCAGUGGGGAAUAUUGCACAAUGGGCGGAAGCCUGAUGCAGCAACGCCGCGUGCGAGAUGACGGCCUUCGGGUUGGAAACCGCUUUCGCCUGUGACGAAGCGUGAGUGACGGUAAUGUGUAAAGAAGCACCGGCUAACUACGUG